UUCAGCAUAGAGUGAGACUUUGGGGAGCGGGGCUUUGUUAUAGGGGAGGGGCUUAUGGAGGGGCGUGGCUUGGUGUGGAAAAAAAUACAAACACGAAAUCCUUGCAUUGGCAGAAGUGUAUUAAGUAUAUAUUGAUUGUCAAAAUAUUUGGUAUCUGUACAGAAUUUCUUGGGAGAUUUACAUUACAUUUAAUUUUCACUAACAUUUUACAGAAAUAGGAUCAACAUGUUCACAGAUUACUAUCUGCACUACUGUAAGUGCAGGGGCCUGUUGCACAAAAGUAGAAUUAAGACAUCCAGGAUAAAUGACUAAGCUGAGCUCAAUGAAUCCAAACCAAGUGUGUCCAGGCUUAAUUGGUUGCACAAAGACCAAGCCAGGAUGAGCAGACACGGAUUCAUCAAGCCAGGUGAAACCAAUCCUGGAUAUGUGCGCGCUCACGGCUCACUCAAACAGACCUGCCACCGACCACAGAUUCACCAUGGCAACUAGAGCGGCGUACUUUUCCCCGUCGGAGGCACAAAUCCUCAUGGAGGCAUACGAGGAGAUAAAAGACAUAAUUAAGAAGAAAGGCAACACCGCCAUAGUGAUAAAGCAAAGAAAAAAAGCGUGGCAAAGUAUUGCAGACUGCCUGAAUGCGUAAGCAGUGCACAAUUACACACUCACCGCUCUGCUGAAACAUCACAUCACAAAAUCCAAAUAGUUAAUUUUCAUCUCUAAAAACACAGUUGUACUCUGAUUAUGAAACAGUUGAACUUUUAAUUGAAAUGGACUGUAGAUACGAGUGAAAUUGUGUAAAGUAACUCCAUCACACUGUAUAAGGCCUUGAUAAAUUAUCAAAGCCAUACAUUAUUACUACGCUCACUAGUAAGGUUUAAUCUUAGCCGUUGUUCUCUGCUUCUUAUGUUGUCCACCGAUUUUUCUGUGUGUUCUCCUGCUUUUAUUAAUGUAAAGCUGCUUUGAAACAAUGGAGCAAUUGUGAAAAGUGCUAUAUAAAUAAAAGUGAAUUCAAUUGAAUAAAUAGAUGAGCUAAUAAUAAUAAUCGGUUUAAUUUAUAUAGCGUCUUUCAAAGGACCCAAGGUUGCUUGCUCACUGACUCCAUUGAAUGUUCUUGUGUGAUAAAGAAAAUGUCUCUUCGUGUGUGGUGUGAUCUGGGGUGUGUGUGAUGUAGAUAAAACAUGACCGGGCUAAAAUGGACAUGGCAGCAAGUCAAAAUCAAAUACAAGAACAACGUACUGUUUUAGCAGUGAAAAAGAAUACCCACAGACAAGGCACAGGUGGUGGGUCACCAAAAGCUGACCUCACCCUAGCAGAGGACAUAGCUUUGGAGCUAAAUAAAGGCAGUCCUGUGUUGGGGGGAAGAGACAAGCAUAGGUCCCUCCCAAGAUGCCACCCGCUUCAUACAAGUGUCUGGCAGCACGGAGUUACUGUUAGAGCCACAAGCACCAGAUGAUUCUGAUAAAGUGAGUACUCCAUCAAAGGCAUACUGUAGGCCUGGCAUGUCUUGUCUACUAGCUUCAAUAUGAAUCCGAUUAAAUGUGAUAGGGUGAAGGCCCCAGUGCAGCAGCAACAGCACAUGAAGGCUAUCAGCGCCUAUCACAAGGUGAAUUCUCUGGUGUGUUGCUGGGAGACAGGGGGUAUGGCUGCCAGCCUUUUCUCCUGACACCUUUCACAGACCCCCAGGAAGCACAGCAGGCCUACAACCAUGCCCAUGCCAGGACCAGGACCAGGGCCAGAGUUGAAAUAACCUUUGUCCUCCUGGUGUCACAAAUUAAGGGUCAGCCCUGUGAGGGCAUGUGACAUUACUGUGGCUUGUGCUGUCCUCCACAAUGUGGCCUGCCUGAGGAAGGAGAGGGCUCCCAGAGUGCUUGUGCUGUAUACUGUGUGUAAUACAAGCUUGCAGGGAGGCUACUGCAUCCAUUCAUUUGUCUGUUCAGUUGUGUAUGUAUCUGUCCUGCAUUUAUUUCAGUGUGCAGACAUGUGGGGUGUGUUAUAUACAGACCUUUGAAUGUGUAUUUAUCAUUUUGUUGUAUAAUAUGCUUUGAUUCUGUGCUUUCCAUCUUGUAGAGUAACUGUAUGACUUCAGUUUGGAAAGGAGCUGAUGGUUUACCUGCUUUGUUUUAUCCUUAUUCAAUAAA